AUUGAACGCUGGCGGCAGGCCUAACACAUGCAAGUCGAACGAGUGGCGGACGGGUGAGUAAUGUCUGGGAAACUGCCUGAUGGAGGGGGAUAACUACUGGCAACGGUAGCUAAUACCGCAUACCAUCGGAUGUGCCCAGAUGGGAUUAGCUAGGAGGUGGGGUAAAGGCUCACCUAGGCGACGAUCCCUAGCUGGUCUGAGCGGAUGAUCAGCCAAACUGGGACUGAGACACGGCCCAGACUCCUACGGGAGGAAGCAGUGGGGAAUAUUGACGAAUGGGGGCAAGCCUGAUGCAGCCAUGCCGCGUGUAUGAAGAAGGCCCUAGGGUUGUAAAGUGCUUUCAGUCGGGAGGCGUUACCGACAGAAGAAGCACCGGCUAACUCCGUGCCAGCCGCCGCGGUAAUAC
rnacentral:rRNA from 1 species